rnacentral:tRNA from 1 species
GGGCCUGUAGCUCAGUCGGUUAGAGCAGAGGACUCAUAAUCCUUUGGUCCUGGGUUCAAGUCCCAGCGGGCCCACCA